rnacentral:pre_miRNA from 14 species
UGUUAUUAUGAAAGACCCCCAGAGCGGGGAGACCCUCACUCAAGUCUCAGGAUGACACGACCCCCCAAGAACUCACGAGAGACC